rnacentral:lncRNA from 1 species
CAGGAAUUUCAGCCAUUCCGGGAUGAAAGCCUCCUGAAAGGAAUCUCUUUCCCUGUGGGACUGCCCAGCUUUCAGCCCUGCUUCUGGGGGAAGAGUUCACCAGAGGACACCUCAUGUAUUUGGAACCAAACGUGCCAUGAAGUGCAGGACUGCUGGAGCCUGUGGGGCUGGAGCAGGUGCUGACGUUGGCCAGGCUGGUGGGACCCCAGGAGGAGAACUCUGAGCCAAUUCCCUUCCCUAGCAGUGGUUGUUCAUUAUGGCAGAGGCCUGAAAAUGAUGAUUUCUG